CCUACGGGGGGCAGCAGUCGAGAAUCAUUCACAAUGGGGGAAACCCUGAUGGUGCGACGCCGCGUGGGGGAAUGAAGGUCUUCGGAUUGUAAACCCCUGUCAUGUGGGAGCAAAUUAAAAAGAUAGUACCAUAAGAGGAAGAGACGGCUAACUCUGGGCCAGCAGCCGCGGUAAUACAGAGGUCUCAAGCGUUGUUCGGAAUCACUGGGCGUAAAGCGUGCGUAGGCUGUUUCGUAAGUCGUGUGUGAAAGGCGCGGGCUCAACCCGCGGACGGCACAUGAUACUGGGAGACUAGAGUAAUGGAGAGGGAAGCGGAAUUCUCGGUGUAGCAGUGAAAUGCGUAGAUAUCGAGAGGAACACUCGUGGCGAAGGCAGGUUACUGGACAUUAACUGACGCUGAGGCACGAAGGCCAGGGGAGCGAAAGGGAUUAGAUACCCUAGUAGUC
rnacentral:rRNA from 1 species